UACGUAGGUGGCUAGCGUUGUCCGGAUUUACUGGGCGUAAAGAGCGCGCAGGCGGUCGUUCAAGUCGAGUGUGAAAGCCCCCGGCUCAACUGGGGAGGGUCACUCGAUACUGAUCGACUCGAAGGCAGGAGAGGGAAGCGGAAUUCCCGGUGUAGUGGUGAAAUGCGUAGAUAUCGGAAGGAACACCUGUGGCGAAAGCGGCGCACUGGACCAAAACUGACGCUGAGGCGCGAAAGCUAGGGGAGCAAACAGG
rnacentral:rRNA from 1 species